rnacentral:ribozyme from 1 species
AGGAAAGAAAGAAAGAAGGGAACGAAGGAAGGAAACCAAGAAAGAAAGGUAGACAGAGGCUUCCUUCAUCUUCUGUCUCUUUUUCUUUCUCUUGCUC